GAUGAACGCUAGCGGCAGGCCUAACACAUGCAAGUCGAGGGGUAACAUAGAGAAGCUUGCUUUUCUGAUGACGACCGGCGCACGGGUGCGUAACGCGUAUGCAACCUACCUUAUACUGGGGAAUAGCCCGGAGAAAUCCGGAUUAAUGCCCCAUAGUAUUAUUCAUUCGCAUGUUUGAAUAAUUAAAGAUUACGGUAUAAGAUGGGCAUGCGUCCUAUUAGCUAGAUGGUAAGGUAACGGCUUACCAUGGCAUCGAUAGGUAGGGGGCCUGAGAGGGUGAUCCCCCACACUGGUACUGAGACACGGACCAG
rnacentral:rRNA from 1 species